UCCCUUCCGGACUAGGUCGGCCCGAACGGUCCGCGACAUCCCAAAUAUCGCGAGAUUUAGUACUCAUUGCUGACUUCGAACUUUUAUUAUCUAUUUAUUUUUGCUGAGGCUCGAGGUGAGUGGUGUCCCCCAAGAGCGGGAAAGGACAGUGUGAACCUUGCAAAGACUGCUGUCCUUGUACUUUCUUCGUCGUCUGGGAGCUUCAGGACGGCGAGCUUUAAGAGGUCGUCUUAUUGGGUUUACCCAGUUUAUUGUAACAGAACCAGCCGCCCUGACACAAACAAGGUAAACAGGGGGUUCGGUUAACUAACCUCGGAGUGUUAACCUCGUGAAACGCCCUGAGGAAGAAGCGCACACCACGCAGCCUGUCACCCUCUCCAGCAGGAGCUAAAUGGAUGCUGCCCGUUGUCUGACACCUCACCGCCAAGUUAAUGAAGCCAGAGUGUCUUUUUGCACGUGUUAAAGUGUUAGUGUACUACGCAGCCACAAUUCCUAUACGAGUCUCCUGAAGCUAAAAUCCAAUGUCAGAGAAGCUGCAUUCCUUCCCGAAGGUGGAAGAAAUCAUGACUCCUCGACUUGACCAGGAUGGAUUCAGAGCUCACCAGAAUAAUCUCAUUUCCAUGUCUGCAUUCUUAACCGCAUCAGAAAAGACCCUUAUGAAAUAUAAAUAAUAAUAAUAAAAAGUGUAUGGUUCCUGGAUUUAUAGAGACAAAUUUCUUUGCUCCAGGAAUCAUUAUCCUGCCUAUUAUAAGACCUUUUUUGAAUACACUAUGCCUGUUCUACAAAGCGAUCUCCAUUCUUUGCAGUUACCAAAAGUUAAUAUCCCUGGUCACAGUAAGAAAUGUUUGUUCAUAUAAAUAUGAAAUACAUCCACUUAAAAUUUAAUGCUACAUAGGUUAAUAUUUUGACUGGUAGUUUAUUGUACCAUAUUAUUUUUGAUCCAUUGAUCCUAACUUAAGACCCCCAUCUAUUAUAGGACAUAUUUUAGAUACAACCAUUGAAAACUAUUAAUUACAACCUUUGAUUCUAGCAUACAUUUUGAUGUAUUCCUUAUCUUACUUAAACUCUUCUCACAUACUCUUUGAAAUCAAAAUGAUAAAUAGAAAUUUUAAUCAAGCUUGUUUUUUGUUUUUUUGCUACAAGAAAAGUUUGGCUCUUCCCCACCCUCCAAUCUGCUAUCCAUUGAUAUCAUUAAUUGUAUAUUGUCUUGAUUUUCUAGAGGUCUGUUGAUUUAAGAUGUAGAAUCUUACAGAGCUGACCUGUAACUACAAAUGACUUGAUAAACCCAAAAUAAGUUUGUAAAUUUAAAUACAAGAAAUCAACUUGUUGAAGGAAUAUUCUUAUGACUAGCAAGAAAAAAGACACCUCAUCCUUGAGUGUCUAUUAUGUAACUGCAUUGCAAUGCUUGUCCUGUACAAUGAAAUGGAAACAGUCAUAACAUGAAACUGUCUUAAAGAUCUACAUGCUUCAUAAAGUUAAGCAUCGGUAACAUUC